rnacentral:rRNA from 1 species
UACGAAGGGGGCUAGCGUUGUUCGGAAUUACUGGGCGUAAAGGGCGCGUAGGCGGUGUGUCAAGUCAGGCGUGAAAGCCCCGGGCUCAACCUGGGAACCGCGCUUGAGACUGGCACGCUCGAGUUCGGGAGAGGAUGGUGGAAUUCCCAGUGUAGAGGUGAAAUUCGUAGAUAUUGGGAAGAACACCGGUGGCGAAGGCAGCUAUCUGGACCGUCGCUGACGCUGAGGCGCGAAAGCGUGGGGAGCGAACAGG